CGCGUAGGCGGCCUGGUAAGUCCGGAGUGAAAGUCCUGCUUUUAAGGUGGGAAUUGCUUUGGAUACUGCUGGGCUUGAGUGCAGGAGAGGAAAGCGGAAUUACCGGUGUAGCAGUGAAAUGCGUAGAGAUCGGUAGGAACACCAGUGGCGAAGGCGGCUUUCUGGACUGAAACUGACGCUGAGGCGCGAAAGCGUGGGGAGCAAACA
rnacentral:rRNA from 1 species